rnacentral:rRNA from 1 species
UACAGAGGGUGCGAGCGUUAAUCGGAAUCACUGGGCUUAAAGGGCGCGUAGGCGGACCGUCAAGUCAGGUGUGAAAGCCCCCAGCUCAACUGGGGAAGUGCCUUUGAUACUGACGGGCUCGAGGGAGAUAGGGGCGUGCGGAACUUCCGGUGGAGCGGUGAAAUGCGUAGAUAUCGGAAGGAACACCGGUGGCGAAAGCGGCGCGCUGGAUCUCUUCUGACGCUGAGGCGCGAAAGCCAGGGGAGCGAACGGG